CAGAGUUCGAGCAACGCAGAGGGAAACAAAGUCUGUGAGCGGCACCAGAAGAACUGCAGUUCAGGUUGCGUGGCAAUGAUGUUAAUAAAUCGGCUGUGGCCUUUUCAUCCCA